UACAGAGGGUGCGAGCGUUGUUCGGAAUUAUUGGGCGUUAAGGGCGCGUAGGCGGUGCGGUAAGUCACCUGUGAAAUCUCCUGGCUCAACUGGGAGCUUGCAGGCGAAACUGCCGUGCUGGAGUGUGGGAGAGGUGAGUGGAAUUCCCGGUGUAGCGGUGAAAUGCGUAGAUAUCAGGAAGAACACCCGUGGCGAAGGCGGCUUUCUGGGACGGUACUGACGCUGAGACGCGAAAGCGUGGGGAGCGAACAGG
rnacentral:rRNA from 1 species